rnacentral:rRNA from 1 species
CCUACGGGGGGCUGCAGUCGAGAAUCUUCGUCAAUGGGCGAAAGCCUGAACGAGCGACGCCGCGUGUGGGAUGAAGGCCUUUGGGUUGUAAACCACUGUCGAGGGGGAUGAAGGCUUGAAGGUACUCCUUCAAGUUUGACAGAGCCCUGGAGGAAGCACGGGCUAAGUUCGUGCCAGCAGCCGCGGUAAUACGAACUGUGCGAACGUUAUUCGGAAUCACUGGGCUUACAGGGUGCGUAGGCGGCUAUUCAGGUCAGGUGUGAAAGCCCCCGGCU